rnacentral:lncRNA from 1 species
CUGGUAUCAACUCCUUAAAAUGAUUUAAUGACUCCUCCCCCUGCCAUGGGUUGUGGUUUGAAUUAGAAAAAUAUUAUCUGUUAAGAGCUUAAUGAAGCAUCUGGCACAUAGCACAGUUUAAUAGAUGUCAGGUACUGUUACUGUUGUUGUUGUUAAGAGCAGACUGACCAAGGCUGCAGAAGGACAGGCUUGAUUGCAACAGACACUUCUGUGCAGUCAGGACUAUCUCACUGGUCUCUUUCUGUGUGUCAGCAUCUCUUCCCUACGCUGACCUUCUCCUCACAGUUGCAGCCAUGGCUGCAGGCUGCUCCAAGAUGACAUCGAUAUGGCUCUACUACCAGAAAGGAAAAGAGUGCUUUCUCUUUCCCCCUGAAGCUUCAGUAAUAAUCGUAGCUAACAUUUAUUGCGUGCUUAUGUGGACCAGACGCUGUCCUAAGUCUUUAUAGUAUUCUUCCCCUCAGUCCUCAUGAUGAUCUGUGGUGGAGUCGUUGGCAGAGGAUGGCUGGAUGUACAUCAGACCCAUUUCUUCUUCCUGGGCCCACAAGUAAACUGCAUUUCCCAGGCCUCUUGUAGCCAGGUGGAGCCAUGUGACUAGUUCUGGCCAAUGGUAUGUGAGUAGAGGUUUCUCUUUCUUUACUCCGUCAGCUGCUGAGGACAGGGAAACCUCGAAGGCUGUGUUAAAGACGCUGGAACCACA